GGCACUUUGGCCGAGUGGUCUAAGGCGCCGUGUUCAGGCUUUGCGACGGACGCUUGUCCGACGCACCUAUUCGCGGUCUAGUAAUAGGCGAGGGUUCGAAUCCCUCAGGUGUCA